GUGCUCCCUUUGGCAACACAUAUACUAAAAUUGGAACGAUACAAAGAAGAUUAUCAUGGCCCCUGCACAAAGAUGACACACAAAUUCGUAAAGCAUUCCAUAUUUUU